GGGAAAGUGGCUCAGUGGUAGAGCGCUUGCCUUGAAUGCAUGAAGCCCUGGGUUCGAUUCCUCAGCACCA
rnacentral:tRNA from 1 species